rnacentral:rRNA from 1 species
UAAUACGGAGGGUGCAAGCGUUAAUCGGAUUUACUGGGCGUAAAGCGCGCGUAGGCGGCUUGCUAAGUCGGAUGUGAAAUCCCCGGGCUUAACCUGGGAACUGCACUCGAUACUGGCGAGCUAGAGUAUGAUAGAGGGUGGUGGAAUUCCUAGUGUAGCGGUGAAAUGCGUAGAUAUUAGGAGGAACAUCGGUGGCGAAGGCGGCCACCUGGGUCAAUACUGACGCUGAAGUGCGAAAGCGUGGGGAGCAAACAGG